rnacentral:rRNA from 1 species
AUACGAAAGGUGCAAGCGUUGUUCGGAUUUACUGGGCGUAAAGAGAGUGUAGGUGGUUUAUUAAGUCGGAUGUGAAAUCCCGGGGCUCAACCUCGGAACUGCGUUCGAUACUGAUAGGCUAGAGUUUGGGAGGGGUAAGCGGAAUUCCGUGUGUAGCAGUGAAAUGCGUAGAUAUACGGAGGAACACCUGAGGCGAAGGCGGCUUACUGGACCAAUACUGACACUGAGACUCGAAAGCGUGGGUAGCAAACAGGAUUAGAGACCCCAGUAGUCC